UGCUGAGAACAGACAUCGGCAGGAGGCUGCUCUUGCACUGCGAGAGCUGGCACCGAGCUCUCAGCGGUACGAGCCGUCUGCUGGUCGCUCAGUGCUGCCUGCUUGGAAAUGGGAGCAGACAAAGGUCCAGACCAUGGCAUUGUGACAUACAUCUCAGCUUCAAGGCCAGAUCACUGCAGUGUGCCCCCAAACCCACAUGGCUGGGGCUGCUGCAGCGGGAGGAGAAGCUGGUGAACCCUGCACUUGGCAAAUGGCACUAGCAGCACUGCUUGAAUCUGCGUGCAGUCCGUCGCAGCUCCUCACAUGAAAUGUGCACGAGUCCUACUUCAGAAAUGGGAAAAUACACUCCAGGAGCACUUCUAGGGCUUAACUCUUCCCCUCCGUAGCGCCCACUCCUUACAAAAACAACACUGGCAGUUGUAGAUAGAAGGAAUUGACAUGGGAGACAACCAAGCUGCAGACUCCAGAGUAAGCAAUCGCAUGAAGGAAAAAAAUAGAUAUUAAUAUAGUUUAUUAACCUCCUUAGCUACUGAGGUUGAUGUAAUAAAACGGAUUAAUCAGCUGGUGGGAGAGUUUCUUUAUUUUAUAAAAUCAACAUCAAACAAGAUUUUCGGGGGGGAAAGGUUCUGUCCCAAAUCACUCGCCCAGCAAACAUCUCUGCGUGAAGCCCUCCACAGAAGCGAGGAGUGGGCUGUUUUAUUUUUGAUAAGCCAGGUGGACAAGAGCUCAUCUUCCCACAGUAACCCAGCGACUCAUGAGCCACAAGAGCUCUGGGUCUUAGGGCACAAACUGCCUUCAGAUAAACAGCAGUGCUUUCCAUGUGCCAUGCCUUAACGAGGAACAAAGCCGAACAGAACAGACCGUAAUAAAAGUGCUCUUUCCAGCACGUGUGUAUGUGGCUGCUCUAUGCUGAAAAUGUCCUUUAGCACUUUUUAACCAUAUUCUCCAGUGUGUCAGCAAAGAGACUCCAUCAGAGUAUUUAACAUUGCUGGGAGCAAAGGAAUAAAGUGGAGUCACUGUUGAUUAUUACUCAUUAGCCACAAGGACAUCCACUUAACAUGUGAAUAAAUGAAUGACACCAUGUCCUAAUGGAAAUGGCCUCGGAGUACCUUUAAGCAAAAUGUUGUUUAAUAUCUUCCAUUUGCUGAAUAGAAAAGAGGCCUGUUGGACAUGCAUAGUUAGCAAGCAGCCAUUGUUGCUUUGUUCCAAUUUCAGCAUUUAAUAAAAAAAGACGUUGUCCCGAGCGCAGCGAGGGCUGGCCCCAAAAACGUGGGUAGCAGCACAGCCUCCUCCUCACCCUGCAAAUUCACCAGCAUUGUGAAGGGUUAAUAUCCAUAAAGCAAAUGAACCCUUGGAAGGUGCGUGUUCUUCAUUAUGCUGCUUUACAUUCAAACAUAUAAAACAAAGAGCAUCUGAUAUCUUUAUUGGUUCUCUUAGAUAAAAUGCAAGCAAGCUAUAAGCCUUAAUUUUCUUAUUACCAUUUGUUAACAAGGAAGAUAACGCUCUCAAAAGUAUUUGAUUAGGACUCCCUUUGAUUUGUAUCUCGUCGUGAUUUUCAGGGCAUAUAUUUUUGUAUUACUCCUCCAGUACACUGAUAGUUCUGAUCAAAGCGAUAAAAAGAGGCAUUUUAAAACUGUGAGUGUGAACCGUACAGGUACAGCUCACAGCCUGAGCAGCACCCGAAGGCUCCGUGCUGGAGCACGCCUGGGAAACAAAUCACAGCGAUGCACGUCCCUAUCCGAGAGCCGCGGGCUGGGAGCCCUUCUGCUCCCCAGCCCUCUCAGCAGGAACUUUC
ensembl:lncRNA